UCGUAGCUGGUUUGUUAAGUCUCUGGGGAAAUCUUCCGGCUCAACCGGAAGGCGUCUCAGGGAUACUGGCAGACUAGGGACCGGAAGAGGUGAGGGGUACUCCAGGGGUAGGAGUGAAAUCCUGUAAUCCUUGGGGGACCACCUGUGGCGAAGGCGCCUCACCAGAACGGCUCCGACAGUGAGGGACGAAAGCUGGGGGAGCAAACCGGAUUAGAUACCCGGGUAGUCCCAGCCGUAAACGAUGUGCGUUAGGUGUAUCGGUGACCACGAGUCACCGAGGUGCCGAAGAGAAAUCGUGAAACGUACCGCCUGGGAAGUACGGUCGCAAGGCUGAAACUUAGAGGAAUUGGCGGGGGAGCACCACAACAGGUGGAGCCUGCGGUUUAAUCGGACUCAACGCCGGAAAACUCACCAGAUAAGACAGCUGAAUGAUAGUCGGGCUGAAGACUCUAUCUUGACUAGCUGAGAGGAGGUGCAUGGCCA
rnacentral:rRNA from 1 species